GGUGGAGCGAUUUGUCUGGUUAAUUCCGAUAACGAACGAGACUCUGGCCUAUUAAAUAGACGAUAUAUUUAAAAGUAUAUCGCGCUUCUUAGAGGGACAAGCGGCGUCUAGCCGCAUGAAAUAGAGCAAUAACAGGUCUGUGAUGCCCUUAGAUGUCCGGGGCUGCACGCGCGCUACACUGGCAAAAUCAACGUGCUUGUCCUUCCCCGAAAGGGGCGGGUAAACCAUUGAAAAUUUGCCGUGAUUGGGAUCGGAAAUUGCAACUAUUUUCCGUGAACGAGGAAUUCCAAGUAAGUGCGAGUCACCAGCUCGCGUUGAAUACGUCCCUGCCCUUUGUAC
rnacentral:rRNA from 1 species